CCAGGGUUCAAGUUGCAGAGCUAUCCGAAAUAGCUGCGCCUAACAUUGUAUUUUUAGAUAAUGAAAAUAUAAUUAUAUUACUUGCUGGUAGAAAAAACGAUUGUUAGCGAAACUGAGAUUAUGCCUACGUCGUUACAACUAUUGAUGGCGGCUUACUGCAACUUGAAUAUGGAAUAUCCAGUGGACUGUCAAAACACAUUAGAAUUUAUACAAAGGUAUAUUUUUAAAAUAAAUCCUAAAGAAGGAAGUCAUAAGUAAUAGUUUUUGAUUUUUAAAAAGCGUUUUUCAAUUAAAAGACAUGUCAAGAUCGCUUAACUUCUUGCAAGUUCUUUCUAAUGCUAAAAAAACUAACUAUAAUUAAUGUCAGUAACAAACAUUUUCAGACAAUUCGUUACUUGAAAUGGUAUAGGUUUCACGCAUUAGAUUCACAUAGGCCUUAUUAACCGAAACUUUUAUAAGACUAAUUCAUAAGAAGUACUUAUGUACAUAAGAUAUAAUUUAUAGUGUCGUAUAUGUCUUCUACUUUUUGUACUCUGUCACAGAAUAAAUAAUAAUAAUAUGCACGUAGACGUGUAUAUACGCGUGUGCUCUAUAAUUUUAGUGUGUGAAAAUCAAUAAAUUUAUUUCUUUGUAA